rnacentral:rRNA from 1 species
ACUUUCAGCGGGGAGGAAGGCGUUAAGGUUAAUAACCUUGGCGAUUGACGUUACCCGCAGAAGAAGCACCGGCUAACUCCGUGCCAGCAGCCGCGGUAAUACGGAGGGUGCAAGCGUUAAUCGGAAUUACUGGGCGUAAAGCGCACGCAGGCGGUCUGUCAAGUCGGAUGUGAAAUCCCCGGGCUCAACCUGGGAACUGCAUUCGAAA